GAGUUUGAUUAUGUGCUCAGGAUGAACGCUAGCGGCCCGCUUAAUACAUGCAAGUCGAGGGGCAGCAGCUUUAUCUCAAUAUAGAGGCUGGCGACCGGUCAACGGGUGCGGAACACGUACACAACCUUCCUUGACUAGGGGGAUAGCCCAUAGCCCUGUGGAUUAAUACCCCGUAAUAUAGCGGCGUGGCAUCACACUGUUAUUAUAUUUUCUGCGAUUCUAGAUGGGUGUGCGGCUGAUUAGGUAGUUGGCGGGGUAAAGGCCCACCAAGCCUUCGAUCAGUACCUGAUGUGAGAGCAUGAUCAGCCACACGGGCACUGACACACGGGCCCGACUCCUACUGGAGGCAACAAUAAGGAAUAUUGGUCAAUGGACGCAAGUCUGAACCAGCCAUGCCGCGUGAACGAUGAAUGUCCUCUGGAUUGUAAACUUCUUUUAUAGGGGGCGAAAAAAGGUCUUUCUAGAUCACUUGACAGUACCCUAUGAAUAAGCACCGGCUAACUCCGUGCCAGCAGCCGCGGUAAUACGGAGGGUGCAAGCGUUAUCCGGAUUCACUGGGUUUAAAGGGUGCGUAGGCGGGUAGGUAAGUCAGAGGUGAAAUCCUGGAGCUUAACUCCCCAGCUGCCUUUGAUACUAUCUAUCUUGAAUAUGGUGGAGGUAAGCGGAAUAUGUCCUGUACCGGUGAAAUGCAUAGAUAUGACAUAGAACACCUAUUGCGCACGCAGCUUACUACCCCUAUCUUGACGCUGAGGCACGAAAGCGUG
rnacentral:rRNA from 1 species